AACGAACGCUGGCGGCAUGCCUAACACAUGCAAGUCGAACGAGACCUUCGGGUCUAGUGGCGCACGGGUGCGUAACGCGUGGGAACCUGCCCUUAGGUUCGGAAUAACUCCCCGAAAGGGGUGCUAAUACCGGAUAAUGUCUUCGGACCAAAGAUUUAUCGCCUUUGGAUGGGCCCGCGUUGGAUUAGCUAGUUGGUAGGGUAAAAGCCUACCAAGGCGACGAUCCAUAGCUGGUCUGAGAGGAUGAUCAGCCACACUGGGACUGAGACACGGCCCAGACUCCUACGGGAGGCAGCAGUGGGGAAUAUUGGACAAUGGGCGAAAGCCUGAUCCAGCAAUGCCGCGUGAGUGAUGAAGGCCUUAGGGCUGUAAAGCUCUUUUACCCGGGAUGAUAAUGACAGUACCGGGAGAAUAAGCGCCGGCUAACUCCGUG
rnacentral:rRNA from 1 species